CUUUAAUAAAAAAUAUGUUUGUUCUGCUGCAUGAGGGGUGAAUAUUCUUCUUCACACAAAUUGGCGGUAAAUGAACGAAUUAUUUGCCAAAGGUAAAAAAAAAAUGAAAGAAAAGAGGCCACGAAGAUAGGAGAAGAAAUAUAUUUCUCGCUUGAUUUAUAUCUCAAACACCUACAAAAUGGGAACACGUUGGGAAAUUUUUAUUAAUGUUUUUCUCCUGUUUGAAUCGCUCCCAUAUAUCACGCUACAUUAUCAAGACACUCGUCUUGUUCAUUGUUGUGAUAAAAAAAUGAUUUUUUGAGUUCAUUAAGACUUUGCUCUAUUCUUCAAUUUUUUUUGCAAUCUGGGGUAUCAAAAAUUUUUUUUUUGCAAUCUUGAAGCAGGUGAAAACCUGUUUAUCAGUCAUAUAUAUUGGGUACUCCACCACACACUACGUGUUGGAGGCAAAAAUGAUUAAAAUUUCUUACACUUUUGCGUGACUUCUCAAAGAAUUUCCCCACCAGUAUUGGGUGCACUCAAUGUGUGUUGUACAGGUUCCCCGCACAGGUGAUCGUCGUCUGUCCGUAUAAAGACUCGCUGAUGGCCUUUUCUCCAUCGCAUUCGUCUUGUUGACUUCAUUCGCACAAAAAGCCCUCUCCCUGGAUUAAUUUCUUGAAUUUCUUUUCAAUUUUUAAUAAGAGAAAAAUAUCAUCAAAAAUUUCCCAAAAGAUCGCCCAAGAUCUAUCUAAAAAAAGUCAAAAUCAAAGAAAAUUCUUCAAGACUUUCAGCAUCAUCAUUUAAUUGGUGGAUUUUUUAAAGUUCAAUCUCUAAAACAAACAGUGUAGUUUUUGUGUCAAUGUUUCUGAGUGUUGACGACGUGCUAUUAAAGUUUCUGCCAACUGUGAGAUUCAGUAGAAAUCUCUGCAUUGGGAAAGGUAGUCGCAGAGGAAACUCGGGCAAUCGUCUUGAAUUUCAAGUUCUAACCCUUAUUGAGUACGUACCUUGAGGAUCUGCCCAGGCAUCUUCACCAACAUUGAAAAUGGUUCAAGGAUACAAGAGCUCAAGUGCAAAGGUUCACACUGAACGUGACACAGAGGCCAAGAGAUCGGGUUUGCAGCAGUCCCAACAGAGAUUGCCCAAUACAAGAGAUCACCAUCAGCAGCAGCAGACGAAUAAUAGCACCUCCAACAAGUACGGCGCCUGGGGGCCUAUUUUCAAGAAUCGCGAGCAUUUUAACAGCCUACACCAUUGCUAGGGCGGUGCCACGAUCAUGUGAUACAGAGCAUUUUACAUCGUAGAAUUUAGUGAGAGAAAAGAGAGGGAGAGAAAAAUGUCAUUUAAAUUAAAUGAUUCUGAUUAAAAAUUAUUAUUAAAAAAAAUAA